rnacentral:rRNA from 1 species
UACGUAGGGCGCAAGCGUUGUCCGGAAUUAUUGGGCGUAAAGAGCUCGUAGGCGGCCUGUCGCGUCCGCUGUGAAAUCCCGGGGCUUAACUCCGGGUCUGCGGUGGAUACGGGCAGACUGGAGGCAGGUAGGGGAGAACGGAAUUCCCGGUGUAGCGGUGAAAUGCGCAGAUAUCGGGAGGAACACCGGUGGCGAAGGCGGUUCUCUGGGCCUGUACUGACGCUGAGGAGCGAAAGCGUGGGGAGCGAACAGG